GUUUUAAAGGGGCUGGCAGGAGGGGUGUGGGUGCUUCAGUCCCACCCUUCUCUCCCUCUGGUGGCUUCUUGUGGUUUGGAUCACUUUGAGGGUACACAGCCUGGAGGACCGCUCUCUACGGAACAAGGUGUAUCUGAAGUCARGACUCAACUGUGUGCUUCUGUCCAACAGAGAUCUCGAGCUGGGCAGUACAGGAGUGAACGGAGAUGUGGAGGAAGUAAAAGAAGAUGGAGGAGAACUGGAUGAGGUGUGGAACACAAUGGGGAUGAUAAAAGAAA